rnacentral:rRNA from 1 species
UCGAAGGUAGCAUAAUCAGUAGUCUUUUAAUUGAAGGCUGGUAUGAAUGGUUGGACGAGAUAUUAACUGUUUCAUAAAAAUUUAUAAUAGAAUUUUAUUUUUUAGUCAAAAAGCUAAAAUUUAUUUAAAAGACGAGAAGACCCUAUAAAUCUUUAUAUUUAAAUUAUUAUAAUUUUAUAGAUUUUUUUUAUUAUAAUAAUUAAUGAUAUUUUAUUGGGGUGAUAUUAAAAUUUAAUAAACUUUUAAUUUUUAAAAUCAUUAAUUUAUGAAUAAUUGAUCCGUUAUUAACGAUUAAAAAAACAAGUUACUUUAGGGAUAACAGCGUAAUUUUUUUGGAGAGUUCAUAUCGAUAAAAAAGAUUGCGACCUCGAUGUUGGAUUAA